CGCGUGGCGGAGGGCGCGUAACACGUGGAUAACCUUCCUUGAGGUGGGGAAUAACCCAGUAAAAAUUGGGCUAAUACCGCAUAACAUCGCGAUGGCACAUGCUGAUGCGAUCAAAGGCGCAAGUCGCCACAAGAGGGAUCCGCGGCCGAUUAGCUUGUUGGCGAGGUAAUGGCUCACCAAGGCAAUGAUCGGUAGCCGGACUGAGAGGUUGGCCGGCCACACUGGAACUGAGACACGGUCCAGACUCCUACGGGAGGCAGCAGUGGGGAAUCUUGCACAAUGGACGAAAGUCUGAUGCAGCAACGCCGCGUGGGGGAUGAAGCUUCUCGGAGUGUAAACCCCUUUCGACCCGGAAGAAUGCCCGCAAGGGUAUGACGGUACGGGUAUAAGAAGCCCCGGCUAACUACGUGCCAGCAGCCGCGGUAAUACGUAGGGGGCCAGCGUUGCUCGGAAUUACUGGGCGUAAAGGGUCCGUAGGCGGUGUAGCAAGUCGAUAGUGAAAUCUCUGCGCUUAACGCAGAGGCUGCUAACGA
rnacentral:rRNA from 1 species